GUGUCAGCAGCCGCGGUAAUACGAAGGGGGCUAGCGUUGCUCGGAAUGACUGGGCGUAAAGGGCGCGCAGGCGGUCUGGACAGUCAGAUGUGAAAUUCCCGGGCUUAACCUGGGGGCUGCAUUUGAUACGUUCAGACUAGAGUGUGAAAGAGGGUUGUGGAACUCCAAGUGUAGAGGUGAAAUUCGUAGAUAUUUGGAAGAACACCGGUGGCGAAGGCGGCGACCUGGUUCACAACUGACGCUGAGGCGCGAAAGCGUGGGGAGCAAACAGGAUUAGAUACCCUGGUAGUCCACGCUGUAAACGAUGUAUGCUAGAUGUUAGGCAACCUAGUUGUUUAGUGUCGGAGCUAACGCGAUAAGCAUACCGCCUGGGGAGUACGGCCGCAAGGUUGAAACUUAAAUAAAUUGACGG
rnacentral:rRNA from 1 species